GACGAACGCUGGCGGCGUGCUUAACACAUGCAAGUCGAACGGAAAGGCCCUGCUUUUGUGGGGUGCUCGAGUGGCGAACGGGUGAGUAACACGUGAGUAACCUGCCCUUGACUUUGGGAUAACUUCAGGAAACUGGGGCUAAUACCGGAUAGGAGCUCCUGCUGCAUGGUGGGGGUUGGAAAGUUUCGGCGGUUGGGGAUGGACUCGCGGCUUAUCAGCUUGUUGGUGGGGUAGUGGCUUACCAAGGCUUUGACGGGUAGCCGGCCUGAGAGGGUGACCGGGGACAUUGGGAGUGAGAUACGGCCCAGACUGCUACGGGGGGCAGCAGUGGGGAGGAGUGCACAGUGGGCGGAAGCCUGAUGCAGCAACGCCGCGUGCGGGAUGACGGCCUUGGGGGUGUAAACGGCUUUAGCCUGUGACGAAGCGUGAGGGACGGUAAUGGGUAAAGAAGGACCGGCGAAAUACGUG
rnacentral:rRNA from 1 species